rnacentral:rRNA from 1 species
GUGGGGAAUAUUGGACAAUGGGCGCAAGCCUGAUCCAGCCAUGCCGCGUGAGUGAUGAAGGCCUUAGGGUUGUAAAGCUCUUUCGUCAGGGAAGAUAAUGACGGUACCUGAAGAAGAAGCCCCGGCUAACUUCGUGCCAGCAGCCGCGGUAAUACGAAGGGGGCUAGCGUUGCUCGGAAUCACUGGGCGUAAAGCGCGCGUAGGCGGCUUUCUAAGUCAGGGGUGAAAUCCUGGAGCUCAACUCCAGAACUGCCUUUGAUACUGGAGAGCUUGAGUUCGGGAGAGGUGAGUGGAACUGCGAGUGUAGAGGUGAAAUUCGUAGAUAUUCGGAAGAACACCAGUGGCGAAGGCGACUCACUGGCCCAAUACUGACGCUGAGGCGCGAAAGCGUGGGGAGCAAACAGGAUUAGAAACCCGAGUAGUCC